GCCUUUGCAGCUGAUGACACAGCUUUUUUUCCCCGUCAGAUCGACCCUGUUGAUCUCUACACUAUUGGCCAGUUUUGUCUGAUGCAUUGGC